rnacentral:rRNA from 1 species
AAAUUGAAGAGUUUGAUCAUGGCUCAGAUUGAACGCUGGCGGCAGGCCUAACACAUGCAAGUCGAGCGGUAGCACAGAGAGCUUGCUCUCGGGUGACGAGCGGCGGACGGGUGAGUAAUAUCUGGGAAACUGCCUGAUGGAGGGGGAUAACUACUGGAAACGGUAGCUAAUACCGCAUAACGUCGCAAGACCAAAGUGGGGGACCUUCGGGCCUCAUGCCAUCAGAUGUGCCCAGAUGGGAUUAGCUAGUAGGUGGGGUAAUGGCUCACCUAGGCGACGAUCCCUAGCUGGUCUGAGAGGAUGACCAGCCACACUGGAACUGAGACACGGUCCAGACUCCUACGGGAGGCAGCAGUGGGGAAUAUUGCACAAUGGGCGCAAGCCUGAUGCAGCCAUGCCGCGUGUAUGAAGAAGGCCUUCGGGUUGUAAAGUACUUUCAGCGAGGAGGAAG